ACUGAUGAACAUGGUUCUAAAAGGAGCUGAGAACAGCAGAACGUUCUCAGUUCUGGACCUAUGGACUGGAUCUAUCUAUGUCUGCAUCAUGGAUCCACAUGGAGAAGAACUGAACAGAGGAAGAGAAACAUCUGAGGAGUCACAGCUCCACUAAUCAGGAGGUCUAGAAGGAGUCACAGUUCCACUAAUCAGGAGGUCUAGAAGGAGUCAUAGUUCCACUAAUCAGGAGGUCUAGAAGGAGUCAUAGUUCCACUAAUCAGGAGGUCUAGAAGGAGUCAUAGUUCCACUAAUCAGGAGGUCUAGAAGGAGUCAUAGUUCCACUAAUCAGGAGGUCCAGAAGGAGUCAUAGUUCCACUAAUCAGGAGGUCUAGAAGGAGUCACAGUUCCACUAAUCAGGAGGUCUAGAAGGAGUCAUAGUUCCACUAAUCAGGAGGUCUAGAAGGAGUCAUAGUUCCACUAAUCAGGAGGUCUAGAAGGAGUCAUAGUUCCACUAAUCAGGAGGUCUAGAAGGAGUCAUAGUUCCACUAAUCAGGAGGUCUAGAAGGAGUCAUAGUUCCACUAAUCAGGAGGUCCAGAAGGAGUCAUAGUUCCACUAAUCAGGAGGUCUAGAAGGAGUCAUAGUUCCACUAAUCAGGAGGUCUAGAAGGAGUCAUAGUUCCACUAAUCAGGAGGUCUAGAAGGAGUCAUAGUUCCACUAAUCAGGAGGUCUAGAAGGAGUCAUAGUACCACUAAUCAGGAGGUCUAGAAGGAGUCACAGUUCCACUAAUCAGGAGGUCUAGAAGGAGUCACAGUUCCACUAAUCAGGAGGUCUAGAAACAGUCAUAGUACCACUAAUCAGAGCUCCUAAAAUGACUCCACAGACAGUGAACUACUUUCUCCAUCCAGCUGUAAAAACAGACAUCAGCUGCUUCAGACUUGGUUCAGGGGUUCUCCAUGGAAACCAGUUAGUGUGAAGCUCAGACAGUGUGACGGAACCUUCAGAACAUCAACUUCUAUGGACGGAGGACCAGAACUAAACCUGAUUGCUGCUCAGAACUAAACUUCCAGAUGAAAGUUUGCUGAAGAACAUGAGAAGAAGCCUGAUGGAU